rnacentral:rRNA from 1 species
UCGCCUCUUGCAACAAUUAAGUAUAAGAGGUCCCGCCUGCCCAGUGACUAGUUCAACGGCCGCGGUAUCAUGACCGUGCAAAGGUAGCGUAAUCACUUGUCUUUUAAAUAAAGACCCGUAUGAAAGGCAAAACGAAAGUUCGACUGUCUCUUUAAUCCAAUCAAUGAAAUUUAUCUUUUCGUGCAGAGGCGGAGAUAAAUAUAUAAGACGAGAAGACCCUAUGGAGCUUUAAACACACUAUUAACUACUACAAUAAUUUCAACCAACAGGCAAAAAAUCAUAAACCACAUAGCCAUAAUAUAAGUUUUGGGUUGGGGCGACCACGGAGCAAAAAAAAUCCUCCGAGAUAAAUAAUUUAGAAUAACACUUCGAAAAUUAAAACAUUUAUUAUAAAUGAUCCACUAAGUGACCAACGAACCAAGUUACCCUAGGGAUAACAGCGCAAUCCUUUCUAAGAGUCCAUAUCGACGAAUGGGUUUACGACCUCGAUGUUGGAUCAGGACACCCAAAUGGUGCAGCCGCUGUUAAAGGUUCGUUUGUUCAACGAUUAAAGUCCUAC